UCAUGCUAGAAAGAGCAUAUGGUGGAUGCCUUGGCACUAAGAGCCGAUGAAAGACGCGAUAAGCUGCGAAAAGCUUCGGGGAGGGGCAAAUACCCUUUGAUCCGGAGGUGUCUGAAUGGGGAAACCCGCAUGAGGAGCCCUCAUGCAUCCCUGCGCCAAUCCAUAACGCAGGGAGGGGAACCCGGCGAACUGAAACAUCUAAGUAGCCGGAGGAAGAGAAAACAACAAGUGAUUCCGUAAGUAGCGGCGAGCGAACACGGAGGAGCCCAAACCGGGGCGCGUGCGCCCCGGGGUUCGGACCGCGGAAGUGAUUCGGGAAGGCUAGCAGAACGGCUUUGGGAAAGCCGGCCAGAGAGGGUGAAAGCCCCGUAAGCGAAAGCCUGACAGACACGGCGGUAUCCAGAGUACCACGAGACACGAGAAACCUUGUGGGAAGAGGCGGGGACCACCCCGCAAGGCUAAAUACUCCUUAGUGACCGAUAGCGCAUAGUACUGUGAAGGAACGGUGAAAAGAACCCCGGGAGGGGAGUGAAAGAGAACCUGAAACCAUAUGUUUACAAGCUGUGGAAGGGCCUUACGUGCCCAACCGCGUACUUUUUGUAGAACGGUCCGGCGAGUUACGCCGGCUGGCAAGGUUAAGGGCUAAAGGCCCGGAGCCGAAGGGAAACCAAGUCUGAAUAGGGCGAAGGAGUCAGCCGGAGUAGACCCGAAACCGGGUGAUCUAUCCAUGUCCAGGUUGAAGUUGCCGUAAAAGGCAAUGGAGGACCGAACCCACAUCCGUUGAAAAGGGUGGGGAUGAGGUGUGGAUAGGGGAGAAAUUCCAAUCGAACCCGGAGAUAGCUGGUUCUCCUCGAAAUAGCUUUAGGGCUAGCCUCAUACGAGUCUUGCGGAGGUAGAGCACUGAAUUUCCUAGGGGGCGUCAAAGCUUACCGAAGAAUAUCAAACUCCGAAUGCCGCGUAGAUGAUGUAUGGGAGUCAGACUGCACGAGAUAAGUUGGGCAGUCGAAAGGGAAAGAGCCCAGACCUGCGGCUAAGGCCCCAAAAUGUGUGUUAAGUGGAAAAGGAUGUGGGAUUUCGAAGACAACUAGGAUGUUGGCUCAGAAGCAGCCAUGCAUUCAAAGAGUGCGUAAUAGCUCACUAGUCGAGAGGUCCCGCGCCGAAAAUGUCCGGGGCUGAAACACACUGCCGAAGCCCGGGGAUGUACCAAGUACAUCGGUAGAGGAGCAUUGGAUGCGGGAGGAAGCGGCACCGGAAGGAGCCGUGGACCGCAUCGAAGAGAGAAUGCCGGAAUGAGUAGCGAGAGGAAGGUGGGAAUCCUUCCGGCCGAAUAUCCAAGGUUUCCAGAGUAAAGCUGAUCUGCUCUGGGUAAGUCGGGGCCUAAGGCGAGGGCGGGAGCCGUAGCCGAUGGACAACAGGUUGAGAUUCCUGUACCGCGAUAUGACAGAACUGUGGGGACACGCGUGGAAAGCAUAAGCCGGGAAUGGAAAGACCGGCGCAAGCGGGGCAGGGGCUGCAUAGGCAAAUCCGUGCAGCGUAACCCGAAGCCGUGACGCGUACCGAACUGCAAGUAGGGAAGUAUGCGAGCCAUGCGUCAAGAAAAGCCGCUAUCGCUCAUAUCGCGCCCGUACCGCAAACCGACACAGGUAGAUGAGGAGAGAAUCCUAAGGCCGACGGGAGAAGCAUUGUCAAGGAACUCGGCAAAAUGACUCCGUAACUUCGGGAGAAGGAGUGCCAUAGAGAUAUGGCCGCAGAGAAUUGGCCCAAGCAACUGUUUAGCAAAAACACAGGUCUAUGCGAAGCCGCAAGGCGAGGUAUAUGGGCUGACGCCUGCCCGGUGCUGGAAGGUUAAGGGGAGAGGUUAGAGCGAUCGAAGCCUUGAACUUAAGCCCCAGUAAACGGCGGCCGUAACUAUAACGGUCCUAAGGUAGCGAAAUUCCUUGUCGGGUAAGUUCCGACCCGCACGAAAGGCGUAAUGAUUUGGGCACUGUCUCGACAAUGCACCCGGUGAAAUUGAAGUACCAGUGAAGAUGCUGGUUACCCGCGCCAGGACGGAAAGACCCCAUGGAGCUUUACUCCAGCUUGAUACUGGGAUCCGGUAUUGCAUGUACAGGAUAGGUGGGAGGCUAGGAAGCGGGGACGCCAGUCGCCGCGGAGCCGCUGUUGGGAUACCACCCUUGCAGUGCUGGGUUUCUAACCAGCAGCCGCGAACCGGCUGGGGGACAAUGUCAGGCGGGGAGUUUGACUGGGGCGGUCGCCUCCGAAAGGGUAUCGGAGGCGCUCAAAGGUCCUCUCAGAAUGGUCGGAAACCAUUCGCAGAGCGCAAAGGCAGAAGAGGGCUUGACUGCGACACCGACGGGUGGAGCAGGUACGAAAGUAGGACUUAGUGAUCCGGUGGUAUAAAGUGGGAUUGCCAUCGCUCAACGGAUAAAAGCUACCCUGGGGAUAACAGGCUUAUCACUCCCAAGAGUUCACAUCGACGGAGUGGUUUGGCACCUCGAUGUCGGCUCAUCGCAUCCUGGGGCUGAAGUAGGUCCCAAGGGUUGGGCUGUUCG
rnacentral:rRNA from 1 species